AAGUCGAGCGAACGGACGAGAAGCUUGCUUCUCUGAUGUUAGCGGCGGACGGGUGAGUAACACGUGGAUAACCUACCUAUAAGACUGGGAUAACUUCGGGAAACCGGAGCUAAUACCGGAUAAUAUUUUGAACCGCAUGGUUCAAAAGUGAAAGACGGUCUUGCUGUCACUUAUAGAUGGAUCCGCGCUGCAUUAGCUAGUUGGUAAGGUAACGGCUUACCAAGGCAACGAUGCAUAGCCGACCUGAGAGGGUGAUCGGCCACACUGGAACUGAGACACGGUCCAGACUCCUACGGGAGGCAGCAGUAGGGAAUCUUCCGCAAUGGGCGAAAGCCUGACGGAGCAACGCCGCGUGAGUGAUGAAGGUCUUCGGAUCGUAAAACUCUGUUAUUAGGGAAGAACAUAUGUGUAAGUAACUGUGCACAUCUUGACGGUACCUAAUCAGAAAGCCACGGCUAACUACGUGCCAGCAGCCGCGGUAAUACGUAGGUGGCAAGCGUUAUCCGGAAUUAUUGGGCGUAAAGCGCGCGUAGGCGGUUUUUUAAGUCUGAUGUGAAAGCCCACGGCUCAACCGUGGAGGGUCAUUGGAAACUGGAAAACUUGAGUGCAGAAGAGGAAAGUGGAAUUCCAUGUGUAGCGGUGAAAUGCGCAGAGAUAUGGAGGAACACCAGUGGCGAAGGCGACUUUCUGGUCUGUAACUGACGCUGAUGUGCGAAAGCGUGGGGAUCAAACAGGAUUAGAUACCCUGGUAGUCCACGCCGUAAACGAUGAGUGCUAAGUGUUAGGGGGUUUCCGCCCCUUAGUGCUGCAGCUAACGCAUUAAGCACUCCGCCUGGGGAGUACGACCGCAAGGUUGAAACUCAAAGGAAUUGACGGGGACCCGCACAAGCGGUGGAGCAUGUGGUUUAAUUCGAAGCAACGCGAAGAACCUUACCAAAUCUUGACAUCCUUUGACAACUCUAGAGAUAGAGCUUUCCCCUUCGGGGGACAAAGUGACAGGUGGUGCAUGGUUGUCGUCAGCUCGUGUCGUGAGAUGUUGGGUUAAGUCCCGCAACGAGCGCAACCCUUAAGCUUAGUUGCCAUCAUUAAGUUGGGCACUCUAAGUUGACUGCCGGUGACAAACCGGAGGAAGGUGGGGAUGACGUCAAAUCAUCAUGCCCCUUAUGAUUUGGGCUACACACGUGCUACAAUGGACAAUACAAAGGGCAGCGAAACCGCGAGGUCAAGCAAAUCCCAUAAAGUUGUUCUCAGUUCGGAUUGUAGUCUGCAACUCGACUACAUGAAGCUGGAAUCGCUAGUAAUCGUAGAUCAGCAUGCUACGGUGAAUACGUUCCCGGGUCUUGUACACACCGCCCGUCACACCACGAGAGUUUGUAACACCCGAAGCCGGUGGAGUAACCUUUUAGGAGC
rnacentral:rRNA from 1 species